rnacentral:rRNA from 1 species
GAUGAACGCUAGCUACACGCUUAACACAUGCAAGUCGAGGGGCAGCAUGACCUAGCAAUAGGUUGAUGGCGACCGGCGCACGGGUGAGUAACACGUAUCCAACCUACCGGUUAUUCCGGGAUAGCCUUUCGAAAGAAAGAUUAAUACCGGAUAGUAUAACGAGAAGGCAUCUUCUUGUUAUUAAAGAAUUUCGAUAACCGAUGGGGAUGCCUUCCAUUAGUUUGUUGGCGGGGUAACGGCCCACCAAGACAUCGAUGGAUAGGGGUUCUGAGAGGAAGGUCCCCCACAUUGGAACUGAGACACGGUCCAAACUCCUACGGGAGGCAGCAGUGAGGAAUAUUGGUCAAUGGACGAGAGUCUGAACCAGCCAAGUAGCGUGAAGGAUGACUGCCCUAUGGGUUGUAAACUUCUUUUAUAUGGGAAUAAAGUGAGCCACGUGUGGCUUUUUGUAUGUACCAUACGAAUAAGGAUCGGCUAACUCCGUGCCAGCAGCCGCGGUAAUACGGAGGAUCCGAGCGUUAUCCGGAUUUAUUGGGUUUAAAGGGAGCGUAGGCGGACUAUUAAGUCAGCUGUGAAAGUUUGCGGCUCAACCGUAAAAUUGCAGUUGAUACUGGUCGUCUUGAGUGCAGUAGAGGUAGGCGGAAUUCGUGGUGUAGCGGUGAAAUGCUUAGAUAUCACGAAGAACUCCGAUUGCGAAGGCAGCUUACUGGACUGUAACUGACGCUGAUGCUCGAAAGUGUGGGUAUCAAACAGGAUUAGAUACCCUGGUAGUCCACACAGUAAAC